UCGUUUCCCACCAUCUCAGGCUUAAUGCCUUAGGAUGUAGACUUAAGUGAUCUAAUUAUUUGGGCCCAUAUAAACCAAAAACCCUUUCUUCUCUUUGCACCUCGAUCAUCCGAGCUCUGCAACCAAAGACGUAACGAUCCCCUUUCCCUUCGCUGGAAAAUAACGAUUCCGUAGCUACGACAUUCAAUCACCUAAACCCACUAAUCCCACUACCUGAUGCUUUCAUUGAUCGUUUAAAACCUUCACUGAGUGAUAUAUACACCUUUUGAGAUGCCUCUUUCCCAACUUAUCUACUUCCUCUCGACAAAUUGCUCGAGUUCUUUCUCAAACAAGCUUUCCGAUAAUUGCAAGUUCCUAGAUUCGUUUCUCUUAACUGAAGGGAGGCCGCUGUAGACAAGUAGCCAAGACGAGAUUGGGAGGUCUGGAAUGUAAAGAAAGGGGUGAAUUAAUGGGUGUGGAUAUGCUUCUGCGUGAUGGCAAGGCUACGGUGAUCCAAGUGUCUAUAAAUAUGCACAGUCCCAACGGCUUCAAACACAUAUUGAUUGAUUGAAAGAUUGUAGUUUUGUUUUGCGCUUUUAGGUGUAUAACCUCAUUGAUGGAGGCUAAGAUCGGGAUGUUGAAUCUCACUCUAAGGAUACAACUGGCGUUUUGGUGAGUUAUCAGUUAUCACAUUCUUACCGAAUGAUCACAUACAUCUAUGAAUCCUUAAAAGAGUUGAAAGUCCAUAAAAUUUUGAAGGAUUUCUUUAGAUAGGAGAAAAAUAAAAAUUAGGAUUUCUUUGUAAACGAGUGGGGCUAUUCUGACUACGACCAAACCAGUGAAUUGUUUGGUAUCACCGGAAUAAAGGCAGGUCAAAGAAUGAAGCUUUGCGGUCUGCAUUACAGGAUCCUUGUGGUAGAUUAGAUGUAUAAGGCAUGGACUGUCAAAUUUUUUUCUAUAAAACUGCAAAACUCAGUAUGUUGUAACAGGUAUUGGUAAACACAGUCGUGGACAUGCUUCUCUCCAUCUAGCUGUAAAGACAUUAAAGUUUCCGUCAGCAAGUGACCAUGUAACCAAGUAAUCUCCUUCUUUUUCAAGCAUUGAGUAUAUUAUAUCAAAAUCUGGUGGUGCACAAUUGGAUCUACUUAUCUUGGAUACAAUAUAUAAGGUUAGCUUACUUUGAAGUUGUGUUUAUUAUUAUUUGUUUUAAAUGUAAAUGUGA